rnacentral:rRNA from 1 species
GAUGAACGCUGGCGGCGUGCCUAAUACAUGCAAGUCGAGCGAACAGACGAGGAGCUUGCUCCUCUGACGUUAGCGGCGGACGGGUGAGUAACACGUGGAUAACCUACCUAUAAGACUGGGAUAACUUCGGGAAACCGGAGCUAAUACCGGAUAAUAUAUUGAACCGCAUGGUUCAAUAGUGAAAGACGGUUUUGCUGUACCUAAUAGUGGGAUCCCCGCCGCAUUAGCUAGUUGGUAAGGUAACGGCUUACCAAGGCGACGAUGCGUAGCCGACCUGAGAGGGUGAUCGGCCACACUGGAACUGAGACACGGUCCAGACUCCUACGGGAGGCAGCAGUAGGGAAUCUUCCGCAAUGGGCGAAAGCCUGACGGAGCAACGCCGCGUGAGUGAUGAAGGUCUUCGGAUCGUAAAACUCUGUUAUUAGGGAAGAACAAAUGUGUAAGUAACUAUGCACGUCUUGACGGUACCUAAUCAGAAAGCCACGGCUAACUACGUG